UCUUUGUGGAGCUGUUGGAGUCAGCGGA
rnacentral:sRNA from 1 species